GCUUAACGCGAAGAACCUUACCUGGUCUUGACAUCCACGGAACUUUCCAGAGAUGGAUUGGUGCCUUCGGGAACCGGAGACAGGUGCUGCAUGGCUGUCGUCAGCUCGUGUCGUGAGAUGUUGGGUUAAGUCCCGUAACGAGCGCAACCCGUUGUCCUUAGUUGCCAUCAUUAAGUUGGGAACUCUAAGGAGACUGCCGGUGACAAACCGGAGGAAGGUGGGACGACGUCAAGUCAUCAUGGCCCUUACGAGUAGGGCUACACACGUGCUACAAUGGGGAGUACAGAGGGAAGCGAAUCCGCGAGGUGGAGCAAAUCCCACAAAACUCUUCGUAAGUCCGGAUUGGAGUCUGCAACUCGACUCCGAUGAAGUCGGAAUCGCUAGUAAUCGCAAAUCAGCAUGGCCG
rnacentral:rRNA from 1 species